AAAAGGGGCUGAGAUUCUUCUUGCCUUGCAAUUCAGCAAAGGCCAAGUCUACAUUCAUACCUACUCUAGGCAGGGAACACUUCCAUAAUUCACUUGUGAUGUCACAGUGUUUUCAUCACCUGGAAAUCCCUCAGGGCUCUGAGCUCAGGUGUGAUACCUGCCUCACUUUCGCUUUCCCUUUCCAAACACCUUGCUGCUCUUUGCUGGGUGACAGCACAGCUGGGUUUUCUGCCCUAGACUAAAGCAAAAUGAACUUUCAUGUUAUUUUUCUGAACCAGAAAAAGCCUUUGGGUAUAAAAGCAAGAGCCAUGGAGAAGAAAAACCACAUUCAGAGCCAAGAGAGAGGCAAAGCAGCCCUGAGACACAAGAGGCAACUAAAGCAACAUCCCAGCAAAUACAUGUCAAGGGAAAAUGGUGAACGUAAGCUACAAAGUUUUCUUUGCUCUGGCCAUCUGGACGAUGACUACAGAGGCCUUUCCCAAAGGCGCUGAGAGGACAAAAUGCCACCUCGCAAAAUACAAGUCCCUGCCACCUCGGGAACUGGAGGCCUUCAAGAAAGCCAAGGACAAAUUUGAGGACAUGAUGCUGUUGUCAGAC